rnacentral:rRNA from 1 species
UACGUAGGGGGCAAGCGUUGUCCGGAUUUAUUGGGCGUAAAGAGCUCGUAGGCGGCCUGUCGCGUCGGAUGUGAAAGCCCGGGGCUUAACCCCGGGUCUGCAUUCGAUACGGGCAGGCUAGAGUGUGGUAGGGGAGAUCGGAAUUCCUGGUGUAGCGGUGAAAUGCGCAGAUAUCAGGAGGAACACCGGUGGCGAAGGCGGAUCUCUGGGCCAUUACUGACGCUGAGGAGCGAAAGCGUGGGGAGCGAACAGG